GGAAUCUUGCGCAAUGGACGGAAGUCUGACGCAGCGACGCCGCGUGGGUGAAGACGGCCUUCGGGUUGUAAAGCCCUUUUCUGGAGGAAGAGGGAGGACGGUACUCCAGGAAUAAGUGUCGGCUAACUACGUGCCAGCAGCCGCGGUAAUACGUAGGACACGAGCGUUAUCCGGAUUUACUGGGCGUAAAGCGCCUGUAGGCGGUUCUUCAAGUCGUUUGUGAAAGCCCUGGGCUCAACCUGGGGAGGCCAAGCGAUACUGGAGGACUUGAGGGUGACAGAGGGGAGUGGAAUUUCCGGUGUAGCGGUAAAAUGCGCAGAUAUCGGGAGGAACACCGAGUGGCGAAGGCGGCUCCCUGGGGUCACACCGAGACGGCUGAGAGGCGAAAGCUAGGGGAGCA
rnacentral:rRNA from 1 species